AUACGUAGGGGGCGAGCGUUGUCCGGAAUGACUGGGCGUAAAGGGCGUGUAGGCGGCGGUGUAGGUCUGGAGUGAAAGUCCCGCAUUCAAUGUGGGAAUUGCUUUGGAUACUGCAGUGCUAGAGUGCGGAAGAGGUAAGUGGAAUUCCCAGUGUAGCGGUGAAAUGCGUCGAGAUUGGGAGGAACACCAGUGGCGAAGGCGACUUACUGGGCCGUAACUGACGAUGAGGCGCGAAAGCGUGGGGAGCGAACAGGAUUAGAUACCCUGGUAGGCCACGCGGUAAACGAUGAAUGCUAGGUGUUGCGGGUAUCGACCCCUGCAGUGCCGGAGUAAACACAAUAAGCAUGCCGCCUGGGGAGUACGGACGCAAGGUUGAAACUCAAAGGAAUUUACGGGG
rnacentral:rRNA from 1 species